rnacentral:lncRNA from 1 species
GUGGAGCAUGUUUCCUUGUUAUAUGUUGGAGCAUCUUCUGGGUAUAUUCUCAGGAGUGGUAUAGCUGGGUCCUCAGGUUGUACUAUGUCCAAUUUUCUAAGGAAUGGCCUAACUGAUUUCCAGAGUGGUUGUAUAAGCUUGCAAUCCCACCAACAAUGGAAUUUUGGCAGACACUAAGGAAAUUUAGAGAAUAAUAAAGACAUCAUUUUAAAAACCCGUAUUCCUUCAAACUUGAACACAUAAGAAGAGGUGGAAUCUCUUUAUGCAUGUGAUCUAAAAAGUUAAAACAGGAUAACACAUGCAGUUUAAAUAGGCCCAUCAACUCCAGUAAAGAAAAGCAGUAACUAAUACUAUCCCAGUUCCCCCACCCCAAAACAGGCUAGGGCUAGAUGUCCUUACUGCCAAGGUAUGAAUGCCAAAACUUCCCUAAUUAGUCUACAAAACAGAAACCUAGCAACAUUCCCCAAUUCUUCCUAAAAU